UACGGAGGGGACUAGCGUUGUUCGGAAUUACUGGGCGUAAAGCGCACGUAGGCGGAUUUGUAAGUCAGGGGUGAAAUCCCGGGGCUCAACCUCGGAACUGCCUUUGAUACUGCAAAUCUCGAGUCCGGAAGAGGUGAGUGGAAUUCCUAGUGUAGAGGUGAAAUUCGUAGAUAUCGGGAGGAACACCAGUGGCGAAGGCGGCGACCUGGGCCAAUACUGACGCUGAGGUGCGAAAGCGUGGGGAGCAAACAGG
rnacentral:rRNA from 1 species